rnacentral:rRNA from 1 species
AUUGAACGCUGGCGGCAGGCCUAACACAUGCAAGUCGAGCGGUAGCACAGAGAGCUUGCUCUCGGGUGACGAGCGGCGGACGGGUGAGUAAUGUCUGGGAAACUGCCUGAUGGAGGGGGAUAACUACUGGAAACGGUAGCUAAUACCGCAUAACGUCGCAAGACCAAAGUGGGGGACCUUCGGGCCUCAUGCCAUCAGAUGUGCCCAGAUGGGAUUAGCUAGUAGGUGGGGUAAUGGCUCACCUAGGCGACGAUCCCUAGCUGGUCUGAGAGGAUGACCAGCCACACUGGAACUAAGACACGGUCCAGACUCCUACGGGAGGCAGCAGUGGGGAAUAUUGCACAAUGGGCGCAAGCUGAUGCAGCCAUGCCGCGUGUAUGAAGAAGGCCUUCGGGUUGUAAAGUACUUUCAGCGGGGAGGAAGGUGUUGAGGUUAAUAACCUCAGCAAUUGACGUUACCCGCAGAAGAAGCACCGGCUAACUCCGUGCCAGCCGCCGCCGUAAAAC